rnacentral:lncRNA from 1 species
CGGCGGCGGCUGGUGGGGGUGGAGAGACGGCCGACUCAUCGGGCGGCGGCGCGCAAUCGGAACCCGAGAGAGCCCCGACGCCGGAUCCGCCGCCGGAGCCCCGCGUCGCGGCCGCGCCGCCGCCCAAGUCCCCGAAGGGGCCCGGCAAGGGCCCGAGGGGACGACCGAAGGGGUGCCCGGAGCAACGCGCUCUGGAGGUUGUGUUCAAGCGGAGCAUGGACGAGUGGCGAAAGUCGCUGCCGAGGGGGAAGCGGGACAAGCUCGACAAGGACCUGAAGGUCAAGCCGGGCGCCCCCGCCAAGGACUUUCACCUCAUCGGCAGCAUACACAAGAUCCACUGGGACGACGAUAAGAGCCAGAAGCGCGCGGAGGUCGUGGCGGAGCUCAACAAGCUCUGGCAAUCGUUCCAGAUUUACCAUCGAAAGGAGUAGCAACGCACUGUAAAUACAAGCC